rfam:Erysipelothrix larvae strain LV19 chromosome, complete genome.
CAAGACAUACAACCGCACAUAUAUAGGUUCCCUAAGAGAUUUAAGUAUCCACCUAAUAUGGCGAGUCUUAUGCUAAAA